rnacentral:lncRNA from 10 species
AAAGUUCCAGCCAUUCAGAAGGUGAGCAGAGGCCCAAACACUGCAAGAACACAUCUCCUGCUGGCGAUUUCUCCAGCCUGCUGUCCAUUUCUGAGAAUGUUCCGCGAGCACAGUUCCCGUCCCAUUUCACCGCUGCCUCCAAAUUCCCACCCCAGCUGCGCCACGUCUCUCAAGCAGAGCUGGCGAUCCGAGAGCAGUGACUGGGGACGAGUGUCCACGCGGGGCUGACGAACUGUCAAAGCCGCCACCAUCUGUCAAGACCUAUGAGGACGCACACAGCACGGGCAGGCGGGCAGGAGAAGUGGCGGACGCAGUCGGCCACCCAGCAUCAGCUCCGGAGGCGCGCUGCUUCACCUGGUGACCUGUCCCCGGCCUACGGGUCUCCAGGAAGCACUCCAGUCCCUGCCAGAUGCUAGCGGGAAGGCAGGAGGGGGCGCCGUCCCAGCACCCCGGAAGCUGCCAAUCUGCUUGCGGGGCUGAGACCGAUCUAGGAAAGGGUAAGCAAAGAUGCACGCGCCUGGGCGGCACGCAGCGGAUUUCCAAGUCGUCUGCACAGAUCAUUGACCCCGCAGGACACGUGCGCAUGUUGGCAGGGCCGACUCCGGAGGAAUUCCAACUCUUCUGAAUCUGCCACCUUGCAGAGGGGACAGCUGACCCUUCGCCCCAUCUCUGAAAGGGCCAAGGAUCUUUCCUCUCAUUGCUUCCUACUGAAUGCCCAGGAUGCCUCGGUGUUGCCUACCUUCCGCAAAAUCCUCAGGGCUGGAUCGUUUUCGGAAACUGCCACCAGAGGGAGCUCCAACAAUAGAGCUGGAUUUUGCUUCCUCCCAGCUCAUAAAGGAAGUCGGGGGCGGGGGAAAUGCUGUUCUCUGCCACCAGCAGGUGCAAAGAUCAGUUUAAAACGCCCAAGAUUGUAACUUCACUACUAAUUCGUGAAAAGCAUAUGGUGGAAUAAUGCUGGAUCUGCAGAGUGACAGAAUAGCUGUCCUCCACCGUGAGUUUCCCUCAUUUCAGACUCAAAUACUUCAGACCCAAAUGAUCUCCAAAUCAGAACUCCUGCCUCUGCAUUCAGUCUGUAGUGUUCUCUCCAGAGGACUGAAUCCUAGCACCCUCGCUCCCCUCCCCUCCUCUGCCAGGCUUUACAGCCUCCGGAACUGCCCUUUCAACCAGAACAGAGCCCAGACUGUCACCUCGAACAUCAGAGGAGUCCCAGCCCCAUUCCUGAGUGCCCCUCUUCCCCCAGCUGCCCUGUGAACAGUGAUAAGAGCUGUGACUGUGUUCUCCAGGCACUGAAAUUAAAGUCAGAACCACUCCGGCUAUAGAUUCCAUGUGCCGCUUCUUACUGCAGACCCUCAUCUCGGUUUGGGAUGGGGAUGUGGGCAGUGUGUUUUGCUGCCAGGAUGAAGUGGUUCAAUUCUCCUAGAAGGAGAUGCAGCAGUCACGUCCAAAAGCAUGACAAAGCCCACCUAAGAUGACCUGUAUCUUAGAAUAGUCUGAAUUCAUGAGGCUUCCGUCCUCAUGUGAAUAUGUCACUAGCACUUGUUCCUUCUUCUGGGGGUAUACUCAGCCAGCAAUUUCCUUCUUUAAGUUUGGAGACAGUUGUAAAGAGGGGAGAACCCUUGGGCUCAUGGGCCUUUAGUUUUCAUGCAAAAUCUAAGACCUCACCUAGUGGGGGAGGCAGAGAGAAUUGGCCCUGACUUUCAGGUUUGGGGGUUCAGCACAGAUCACUGUUGUGGGAUCCAGACAUUCCUGCACCCAGGAGAUGUGCAAGGACAAGCAUGAGAAAAACUGCAUCUGGCCAGGCACAGUGGCUCACGCCUGUAAUCCCAGCACUGUGGGAGGCCAAGGCAGGUGGAUCACCUGAUGUCAGGAGUUCAAGACCAGCCUGGCCAACAUGGUGAAACCCCGUCUCCACUAAAAAUACAAAAAUUAGCCAAGCAUAGUAGCACAUGUUUGUAAUCCCAGCUACUCAGAGGUUGAGGCAGCAGAAUUGCUUGAACCUGGUGGAGGUUGCAGUGAGCCGAGAUCGCACCACUGCACUCCAGCCUAAGCAACAGAGCCUUGGGGGAGAAAAAAAAGAAAAACAAUGUAUCUGAGGCGUGCGUGACUACUGGGUAACGGCAGCCAUUCCUGGGGAUGUCUGGAAAGGCUUCAGAGGGCAGGCAGACCUGAGUUCCUCCUGCCCUCUACCAAGAGAUGACUGCAGCCUCCAGCCUGGCCUGCACUGGCAGGCACCUUCAAGAGGGACGACAGGACCAACAGGGAGCUGCUGCUGUCCCCCAGGCCUCCCCUGCUCAGAUCUGCAACCAAACCAGCAAAAGCUAGUACGUCUCAGGAAAAACUUCUGCUUGUUACCGAGCUUCCUGGAAAAUUGCAUUUGGAGAGCUAUGAAGGCUUGGCUGUGAGUAAUUUGUUUUUUAAAUAGCUCUGUUAGUUGGUCCACAUUGUGUUUUUCAUUCCACCAGAGCCGAAGGUGGUGUUUCUUUUGUUUAUGGUAUUAGUGUUAUAUUAUUGGUGAUCUCAUUGUUCUUGUUUGUGACAUGUUUACCUCAGUAGGACAGUUAUUGUAGGAGGGAAGUCGGGAGCCAGUCUACCCACCAAACCUGCAGAACUAAAGAAAAAGACUCCAAUCUGUCCCGCAGGGUGCAUAUUACUCCUUUCUUGGAUUGUUAAAUUCUAAUUAUAGGCUGUUGAUCCCCAUUAGAACCAUUUGUAAGCCUAAACACUGUUGUGCAGCAUCUUUUGCCAAUAGGUGUGUUUCAUUCCAAUCGUUGUAUAAAACAUAACAUUCGUGCUUUUGGGGGACUACAACAGGUUAGUGUUCUCUGGCAAAGUUGGACAAGAAAUAGUCAAAAUAUGACUCAAAACUAAGAUAGUGCAAACAAAAGUACACUUUGCCUUGAUGUUUAUUUAUUAGGGAUUUCUGAAACCCUAGGACACUAGAGCUCACCUUUCAGAUCUCAGACCUCAGAUGCCACAUCGUCAAGGAAGCUCUCCUGGACUGCCCACUUCCACAUUCCUGGGACAGCAGAGAUCUCCCCCAGCCCUGCCUGGCACUUGACACAGUGGAUCAUUUCACAGGACUGGGGGAUUAGUUAACUGUCUUUCCACUAGAUGGAAAGUUUCAGAGGAAUCCUGUCGGGAUUACCGAUGCCUAGUAUGAUGCUUAGCACACAGUAGGCAUUUAAUAAAUGUGUUGUGUAGUGCCUGUGUACUGUUUUAUUUGGGAAUCUUCAGAAGGUAAGAAAAGCAAAUGGAUACAUUCAUAAUAAGUAUGAGAUGUGGAGAGCAAGCAAGUCCGUAGAUUAUAAGACGUAAGCAAAAUUCAUAGUAUGUGUUAAGUAGAAGAGGGGAUGAAUAAGAUGGAGCUGUGAGACUCAGGAAGAACUCACAGAAUUCACAUGGAUAAUGAGUAAAUCAAUAACCUGUGGGAGAUGUUGAAGACAGAUACAAUAAGUGGAACAUAUAAUAGAACAAACCAGAGUGCUAUGGACCAAUAGAGAGACAUUAAAAGACCAAGUUGUAAGAUACAUUCAUGCUACAUCAGGGCUGACAGCUAUCUGAUUCCCAAAAUCAGCCACUCAUCCAUCGGUGACACCCAUUAUGGUCCCAGUUGUGUUCUGCCCAAGAAGCACAGAUAAACAGAGAGAGCUGUUCAGGAGGCUAAUGGAUGCUCCUGCUGUGGCCAGGAGAACUUGCCCCUGGCUCUCCAAUAGCAAAAGCGUGUAUCGUUGCCUCGGGCACCUUCUUUCUGUUGGGUCCCUUCACUCAUCCUCAAUUAUGGUCCUUGUAACCACAUCAUUAAGAAAGAAAGUUAAUAUGGGUGGGAGGGAUAUGGGUGGGAGGCAAUAUGUGAACAUUGCAUAUUAAAUGGCCCAGGAUUCAGGAAGGGGACUUCCCACCUGCUUCUGUGGUAUAUGUGUUAACCUACCCCAUCUCUUUCCUCUUGCUUCUCAUUGUGUGUUUAAAAUUUAUUCAACAAUCUGUAUGAUUCAAGUAUCUUAACUAGAUCUUUCUAUUGUAUUACCUCCAGAAUAGUUUGCCUGGUAGCGCAAUAGUUUGCCUGGAGAUUAAUUUCCUAUACAACAUAUUGAAAUAGUGCAUUGUGAAUUGGCUACUAUGACUGCUGAUUAGGGUGAGGGUUAGGGUUAAACCAGUUUCUGAAUCUAGCUACUCCCCCCUACCAUAAAAACCACUUGCAUUCAACAAUUAGCCAUUGCAUUAAGUGCUAAAGAUACAAUGAUGAGAAAACAGCCAUGAUUCCUGCCCUCAUGAAGUUUAGAACAGAAGAAAGACUAUCUGGUAAUCACACAAAUAAGUAACAAAUAAAUCUAACGUUUUAACCAGUGAUAAACCCUCUGAAGAGAAAGUGCACUGAGGUCCUCUGAGAGCAUAUGCCAGGGGAAUUUGACCCAUUCAGAGAGGGUUAAUUAAGCUAAGGGAAAAGGCAUAAAUGUCUCAGGCAGAAGGAAUUGGCUAUGCAAAGGCCACGUGAUGGGAUGAUGUCAUCAACCAUUCUUUCAGCAGACAGCACUGACCCCGUGUGCCCAGCCGCAUGCUAGAGGCAGGAAUACAGGGGAGAAAGACCAGCACUGCCCCCAAGAAAAGCCCACGAUGACUGUCGGACCUAGGAGGAUCCUUGGAGAACCUGAAAAGGUUUCACAUUGCAUGGAGGAUAAGACUAGAGCCUUAUAAGAUAAGACAUCACUGAGAGUUCAGUUGUUAAUCCUGGGAGGGGUGAACUCAUGAAUGAUCACUGGGUGUGGUGGUGCAUCCCUGGCUCUAGUCUUACCCUCCAUGCAACGUGAAAACUUCUGAUGCCCCAACUCAAACCUAAUUUUCAAGCCUUCGUUAGCUAAAAUCUCACCGAAGUCCAGCUUUAGGAGAAAUAACAGAUACUAUUCCCUGGCUUAUGCCAAACUCUUUACAUGCAUUGUUUUGUUUUUUUAUCUUUGUAACAACCAUGUGAGAUUGCACUAAACUGACACUCAGAGAGAAGGUAAGUCAUGCCCCCGAGUCAUUCAGCUAAUAAGUGAAAAGAAAAAAAAAAAUCAAGAUCCAAACCCAGGUCAUUCUGGCCCUAGAGCUGAAACUCAGUGAAAACCAAGCUCUAGCCAGGAAUUGUGGUUAAAAUAAAGCUUCAGCCAGCUGGAUACUCCAGGGUGUUUAGGAAUGUGAAGUUUGUGGGUAUAUCUUGGUAUUGUGGUUGUGUUGAUGCUAUUGUAGUUUUGGUAAUGUGGUCAUCUCUUGACAGUACAUGCUGAAAUGCUUGCAGAUUAAGUGUGGCAAGGUCCAGGUUUUACUUCCAAAUAAUCUGUGUGAAUAGGGGAAGCAGUGUGUGUGUAGGUUUUGACAGCUGGGGAGGCAGAGUCCGUGGGAAGGAGGGGAGGAAAUAGAUUGACCAUAAAAUAGAUUUGCCUUCGUUAUUUGGAGGUUGGGGACAGGUGCAUGGGAGUUCACUAUAAUAUUCUCUUUUCUUUCCUAUAUGUUGGAAAUUUUCCAUAAAAUGUUUUUUUCCAAAACAAGUUAAGUUCUGGGUUAUGUUUUGAUGGCCUACUCCUUCAUCUCCAAAUCCCAUAGACUUUCACAAUUAUAUUUGCCCCCGUAAUUGGAAGUUGUAUGGGGCUGUUUCAAAAAUCUGAGUCAUCAAAGAUGUAAUUGACUUCCUACCGCCGGAUUAGCAGGCAAAAAUGUACCCGAUACUUUCUCUACCGGCGCUGUGUUGGGCUCUGGGCUGAAACCCAGUCUCUCACAGGCCCUCGGAACAGCCCCACCAGUUAAGAUCCAUCCCUGACUUCCAACUCUGUAACUAGGGACAAGUUAAUUGACUCCUCUUAGCCCUUAGUGUCCUCAUCAAUUAUUACGUGGUAAUAACCCCUCAGAGAGUCGCCGGGAGAAUUAGCUCGGCGCGGUGCAUGGGGCUAGAACUCAGGGCCCAGCAGGUCUGACAAUGCAGGUUUCCCCGCUCGCCUGUUGGGUUUUUGAAACGCCCUCAGCGGGGUUUUCCUCCUAAUUCUGGUUUGGAGGAGCCAUCUCUCUCCAUCCCGUCUGCCAGCGGGGUUUGCUUCACACACAGACGUGGGCAGAUGGCAUCGGGGACACAGGGAAACCUGACCUUAGAGGAAAUGGAAAAGUUGGAGAGACACUGAGCACUGAUACGAAAUAAUUCUCUUGCUGAAAUACACGAAAGGAGUCCCAGCAGCCAUAUUAGUAUUUCCACGUCCUGUGUCAGCCCCAAGUAGAGAGAACUUGGAAUGGGAGGGGAAAUGGCAGCCAUCAGGAAAUGAAAUGCUGGCCCAGAGAAUUCUAAGCAAGUCAAUCACCAGUCCAACUCUUCCGAAAACUUCCUUGUUUUGCCUUUUCAAACAUCAGGGGCGUGACUUAUAACAGCCAAAUUUUGCCAGCAUGCUGUGUCAUGGGUUCCAGUCCGUGGAGCUCCGUCAUACUCUGUUGGGCAUCCUGUGUCUUAUUCCUCUCUUUAGGUCCAGUUUCUACAUACCUUAUCUGUGUUAUCUCAGGCUUCAGAAGCUUCUCCGUAACGUGGGCUACUUUCCCCUCAUCACUGGGUAUUUAUUUAUUUAUUUUUACUGAAGCCUGAGCCCUGUAACGUUACCACACUGGCCACAGCUUCAGGAGAGAGAUCACUGCUCUCAAGAACUUACAGUCUAGUGAUGGAUACAAAGGUACAUGAAAAAAUAACUAGCAAUGGAAAACAAAGCAUGAAAUGCGAUGAAACGUGGUCAGGAUGCUAAGUGCUAUGACAUAUCACACUCGGAACCUCACUUUGCUCAUAUGAAAAGCUGGAGAGAAUCUUCCCAAGCUUAGCACAUCCUCAUAGGAUUUUGGUGAAAAUCAGAUGAGAUGAAUGCUUCAUCUGGAGAAUUUCAAAGAGACAACCAACCACCUGUUGUCAAUUUCCAUUCACCACCCUAAGUGUUAAUGUAUCUCUGGUUUCCUAAAGUAUUGAAUAAGUAUGAAGCCAAUCAAGCUUUGCCAUGGAGUACCUGGACCAAUCAGUUACCUUGGUUGACUCUUAGUUCCUUCUUGGUAUCUCUGGUUCUAUUUAACACAAUGCACCCGGGUUCUAUGGCUCCAUAAGAGAUGCUCAAAUAAAG